AGUGAUCUACACAGUCUCUCAUCUAUUACGUAUAUUAAAUUCUGGUAUUUUCAACUACUCUUCAUUAAAACUUAGAAAAAAAUUUAUAAUCAUUUCCUAAAGUCAAAAGAAGAUUUGAAAUGCUACUGAAAAAAAAAAAAGAAGGCUGAAAACUGGUUUGCAAGAUUCUCUGGGGCAUCAAAGGCAUCUUAAGAACCACGCUUGCACGUUCAUUAGACAGCCCUUUAAUCAAUGUAUCUUUAAUAGACUGCUGGAAAUACUCAAAGGUAAAUCUCCUGAAGAAAUACUCACUUAGCACAUACAUCCACUUGGA
rnacentral:lncRNA from 1 species